rnacentral:snoRNA from 1 species
UGUAUAAGAUGAACCUAUCCCGAACCUGAUUCCUGUAAGAUUGACAACCCUGUCGGAUCUGACUUCUGAAAU